UGGUAACGGGGGAGGGGUCAUUAAAGAGUUCUAUAAACUCCCAAACCCAUGUGAACAUACCUUACGUUGCCUCGGCAGGUCGCGCCUACCCCGUAGCCUCCUACCCUGUAGGACCUACCCGGUAGACGCGGGUAAGCCUGCCGGCGGCCCAAGAAACUCUGUUUAGUAUUGAAUUCUGAACCUAUAACUAAUUAAGUUUAAACUUUCAACAAUGGAUCUCUUGGUUCUGGGAUCGAUGAAGAACGCAGCUUAAAUGCGAUAAAGUUUGUUUAUGCAGAAUUCAGUGAAUCAUCGAAUCUUUGAACGCACAUUGCGCCCAUUAGUAUUCUAGUGGGCAUGCCUGUUCGAGCGUCAUUUCAACCCUUAAGCCUCUGUUGCUUAGUGUUGGGAGCCUACGGCACCCGUAGCUCCUCAAAGUUAGUGGCGGAGUCGGUUCACACUCUAGACGUAGUAAUUUUAUCUCGCCUAUCAGUUGGACCGGUCCCCUGCCGUAAAACACACCAAUUUCUAAAGGGUUGACCUCGUUCCAGGUAGGAUUA
rnacentral:rRNA from 1 species